AUUGAACGCUGGCGGCAGGCCUAACACAUGCAAGUCGAACGGUAACAGGGAUCAGCUUGCUGAUUCGCUGACGAGUGGCGGACGGGUGAGUAAUGUCUGGGAAACUGCCUGAUGGAGGGGGAUAACUACUGGAAACGGUAGCUAAUACCGCAUAACGUCGCAAGACCAAAGAGGGGGACCUUCGGGCCUCUUGCCAUCGGAUGUGCCCAGAUGGGAUUAGCUAGUAGGUGGGGUAACGGCUCACCUAGGCGACGAUCCCUAGCUGGUCUGAGAGGAUGACCAGCCACACUGGAACUGAGACACGGUCCAGACUCCUACGGGAGGCAGCAGUGGGGAAUAUUGCACAAUGGGCGCAAGCCUGAUGCAGCCAUGCCGCGUGUAUGAAGAAGGCCUUCGGGUUGUAAAGUACUUUGAGCGGGGAGGAAGGGAGUAAAGUUAAUACCUUUGCUCAUUGACGUUACCCGCAGAAGAAGCACCGGCUAACUCCGUG
rnacentral:rRNA from 1 species